UUUAAUUACACGAUAAAUUAUAUGUGAGGUUUAGGGUGUUACACCCUCCGGCGGAGGCCGUAUAAGGUUUUACAAAAAGUACUAACAGAUUGGAAAUAAAAAAACUUACCAACUGCGUUUCCGACGCGAUUGUACUUUUGUGAAUCGACGUCGAGAUGAGAUGCAUAUCCAUUGUGCAGAAGGUAGAAUUUGCAGAAGAACCUUGUUGAAGAUAGAAAUGCAGAACUGGAUGAAGAUUCAGAGCAAAACUUGGAUGAAGAACUAGAGUGAAACUGAGUGAAAACUGAACCUCCUCAAUGGUGACACAGUUUCAGGUGAAUAUGCAUCGCAGAACUGUUUUAGUUCCUUCCUGAAAAAGUAUUGGAUCCAAUAAACGGAAAUAUUUGCGGAGGUCCACACUAUCAGAAUGAGUAGAAAACAAUUCGGAGUCCAGUACCGGUGAAUGAUGUCGAAUCAUUUUGAAAUAGGACCCUCUAUCUGACGAUACCAGUAUGCCGUGAUAAGUCGGUGUCUACCUUAAUCCAAGUGUCCGUGGACCAAGUCAGACGUGUAAUGCUUCACAUAACCCGAUGCCGACAAACAACAACAAAUGAAGACGGAGGAAGUUACUGCAUUGAUCACGCCAAUGCCAAUAAUAAUCAUGAUAGAACGGGAUUUUCUUCCUUGACAGUUAUGCAUUUAAAGGUAUCAAAAAUUAACAUUUCUCAGCAAGAUCAAUUGCUAGGGGGGACAGAUCAGGAAACCUUCAUGCAAGGGCUGCUUUUCUAUCUGCGGAAACUGCUUAACAUAUUUUUUGCAUUAUCAAUUAUGAGGAAUCCAAGAUCUUCUUCAUUUGGUGAACCUAACAACUCAGUUAUGAGUGCCUAAUUAAAGAACACAAUCUUUACCAGGAAAUAAAGGCUCCCUUCUAAAUAUCUCCAUCAAAAUGCAGCCAACUGAUCAUACCUCAAUAGUUGUAAUAUCCUGAACAGUUUGGUAGUAACUCAGGGGUUCUAUACCAACAAAUCACGACAUAUUUGGUCAUGAAGUUUGCCUCAGAGGUUGUUUUGGCAAGCCCAAAGUCACAUAUUUUGGGAUCAUCGUUUGUAUUGAUGAGUAAAUUGCUUGGUUUUAAAUCUCGGUGCAAAACAAUUGCAGAGUAUAUGUACUUGGGGUAGGUUUCAAAAUGUUUCUUAAGGCAUUGUACUGAAUGUAUUUUUCACCGCGGAUGAGAAUUCCUUGAGAUUUUGGGUUCUCGGAAUCAGCUUACAGAACCUAUCAACAACCUCAGCUUUCCUUCUUAUUUCAGCUGACCAGAGUGCAAGGUUGGCAUGUUUUGGAAGUGAAUCAUGCUGUUGUUUCUUCUCCCUAAGCCAAUUCUCAGCUUCAACGCAUUUUGAAGCACAUCAAUUUUGUAUCCCUCCUUAAACUUCGCAGCAAAAUGAUCGGACAAAACCACAUCAAAAUUCCUACCAUCAAGCGACCUGUCAAACGUAUGAGCCAACACUUUCAGCUUUCUCUUUUUGUACCCAGCAAUGCACACCUGCAUACUAGCAUGGCCACAAAAGCCACAUUCAGCUGACCACUUUCAGGCUGAUCUAUUUUAUAAUGCAGUAGCAGUGGUUUCGUUAAAUGUGUGGCAAGUUGGUUUUGUUUUGUAAAUGUCAUGACUGUAUGUAUUGUAAUAUUUUCCAAAUGUAUGAAUGUUAGAUCCAUGUUAUGGUUUGGUGUAUAUCCUAGUAUGUACACGUUGGUUCAGGAAAAAUGCAAAAA